CUGAGCCGUAUGAGGUAGGAAACUCUCAAGUACGGUUCUAAGGGAAGCAACUGCCUAUUCCGAC
rnacentral:ncRNA from 1 species